CAACGAAGCAGGCUUUAUCCAUGGAUGGCAUCUUUAAGAAAAGGGUGCUCUGUGAACAUUAGACAGAAGCGACUUUGUCUGUACAAAGUGCAAGCUGGUCUCCAUAUUGGAAGAGCAGGUUCAAGGUCUGGAGAAACAAGUAUCGACCCUGCGUUGCAUAAGAGAAACUGAAGAUUUCCUGGACAGACAUCAGGAUAUGCUUCUACGGACACAAUGUUCUGAAGAUUCAGAGCAGGCUGCGCAGCGGGGACAGGAGGACGGUGAAGAAAUUUGGCAGCAUGUGACCUCCAGAAGAAGAAAGGGGAGCGUCCAUGUACCAGCAGCACAGAUAGAGAAUGUCCACAUACAAAUCACGAUUGUCAUAAAGCUGUGACACUUUGGAGUUGCUGUAAUAAAAAAAGACUGAUAUUUACACUUGAAAAAAGUCUCAAGGCAAUUUCUUCAUAAAUCCUUUACGAUACCAACUUGGUCACCCAGCUGCUGCUUUCCCAUGACAGGGUUGUGAACACGGAUGAGCUUUACAGAGACACAGCAGAGGUCUGCCACUAACUGUGCUAUUUGCUGUCUUUAACACAAAACAGGUAGCAGGACUGGCGAGGAGCUGUGGUGUAACUUUCCAUAAGUGUUGGACAUUGCACUCCUAUUCUUAUCACCCACUCUGCAUGUCUUGUAGGUGAUGCUAACCCCAAACUAACAGGCAAAAAGAAGAAAGCAUAAAUAAAAUGAAAAGAUGCUAUCAAGGAAGGUAGAAGAGGAAGAAGUCCACCCACCUCCUCCAGUCCUGGUGGGAGACAGCAGGAGAGGAGACUUUUCAUCCUCCAGAUAGGAUGGGGAGUUGAGUAGACAGGAGAGUCUGGGCUGGCAAGAGCAGCUGCUCUCUCGCUGGUGCAGUGUUUUAAGGGCUGAGCCUGCAGGUGUGCUCCAGCUCGGUAUAUGCAAGAGGGAGGGGAGGCAGCACAGGCUGCUCCAAGGGCUUUCCCUCUCAGCACACUAGAGCGGUUCUGGUUGGCUGCUUUUCCCCAAUAGAUGUGGGAAUUUGCAAGAGCAGCCAGUCAACUGGGGAUUCCCAUCCAAAUGAUAGCAUUUUCACCAUAGACCCAAAAUAGACUCAGGAAACUUGAUAAAUUUGUAUCAGAGGGGUAGCAGUGUUAUU